CCCAACUCCCAGGGCUCCACAGACGUCAAAACAGGAAGCGUCCUUUCACACCGGAAGUCUAUCAGUUCGAAAAAAAACUAAUUUAUGAAAGCGAAAUUCAUAAUAUAGAACCAAAGUUACAGUUUUCCAUAGCAUAACAAAUGUUCCCCUUUAUAAUCCACACCAAAAAACACACACCAAGCGGAGACAAAAGUUUUCAUCUUGGAAAACUCGCAAAGCAACGAAACUGGCCCCUCCACUUCCUGUCACCAUGCCUGCUCUGCAGGACAGACCGAAGCUGUCCAACGCCAUGGCCAGAGCCCUCCACAAACACAUUAUGAGAGAAAGAGACCGCAAAAGACAGGAGGAGGAAGAGGUGGACAAGAUGAUGGAGCAGAAGAUGAAAGAGGAAGAAGAGCGAAAGAGAACAAAAGAGAUAGAGGAGAGGAUGUCACUGGAAGAGACGAAAGAACAGGUGAUGAAGAUGGGGGAGAAGCUGCAGGGACUGCAGGAGGAGAAGCAUCAGCUCUUCCUCCAGCUGAAGAAGGUCCUGCACGAGGAGGAGAAGAGGCGCAGGAAGGAGCAGAGUGACAUCACAACACUGACGUCAGCCAGCUACCAGUCCAGUCUAACCAUGCACACAGGACAGCAUCUCCUCAACAUCCAAGGCAGUCCAGUCAGUCACAACAGGUCCGGGGCUCUCAUGUCGGAGCGCAGUAAGCAGUUGUUUCCAACACCUGUCAUCCCGAGUGACCGUUUCACUCUCCUCGCUCCACAGGGCCGCCACUACCAGAGCCAGCCUGGAUUCAGUGCGGGCCCGGCGGAGCACGGCCAGUUCGGUGGCAGUCAGUCGGUCCACGAGAGCUACGGCGUGGCCCAGACGCAGCACCCCUCCAGCUACGCCCCCGGCCCCUCUGUACCUGUCAGCUUCGCCACUAGCUCCCAGAUCAGAGGUGCGUCUGCGUUCCAGGCCAUGCAGUACCUUCCUCAUCAACAGCCUGGCUACGCUGUUCACAGUCACUUCACCUCCCAGCAGGGAUUCAUCCCUGGUGCUGGAAUACCCCUUCAGAAGCAGUUGGAACAUGCCAACCAACAGUCUGGCUUCACUGACGGGGUAAGACCAUUGGUCAGACAGAUGGGGAGGAAGAUGCUCUUUCAAGACGUGCACAUUAUAAGGGUGCUAUGAGACCCAUGCACCCCCAAGCCCUCCAUGCAUCUGUUGCUGGCCUGCUGCCCACCCCCUCCUUGGCUGUCCAGAUCCCCACUCCAAAGGCACCUUUCCAGAGCUCUCCCCAAACGGCUCCCCGCCAUGCCUUCCUCCCUCAUGCCCAGAGUUCACAGAGGUUCUAUCACCACAGCAAGUAACCACGGUUACCUGCCUAAACUAUCUCCCCUGGGAGUUCUUAUCGUUCAGAUUUCAUUGGCUCACUCAAGAUUCGUGAAGACUGGAAUUAUGGCAUAGUCAACUUGGAUUAUGAUGGUUGAUUGUAAAGCCCAAACCCACAGGCUUGACUUUAAUAUUUAUUGUAUAGUUCAUUUUAUUACUGCUGUAUUACUUUAGUUUUAGUGGCCUAAAUGUUCUAGGAAACUUCUCUCCAGAAACUGUAUAGUGUUUUACUUUCUCCUUUUUUUAUUGUGUGUUUGGAUGUAUUACCUCAAACUGUCCUCAAAACAAAUAAAAAAAAAUAUCACAAUUUGACAA